rnacentral:tRNA from 1 species
GGCCGAGUUAAUGGAUAGCACCUGCCUUCUAAGCAGGUUGUCGCAGGUUCGAUUCCUGCAGGGGUCGCCA